GCUGGGUCCGGUGGCAUGUGCCUGUAGUCCCAGCUCCUUGGGAGCCUGAGGUGGGAGGAUUGCUUGAGCCUAGGAGUUCUGGGCUGUAGUGCGGUAUGCCGAUCGGGUGUCCGCACUAAGUUUGGCAUCCAUAUGGUGACCUCCCGGGAGCGGGGACCAGCAGGUUGCCUAAGGAGGGGUGAACUGGCCCAGGUUGGAAAUGGAGCAGGUCAAAACUCCCGUGCUGAUCCGUAUUGGGAUUGCGCCUGUGAAUAGCCACUGCAUUCCAGCCUGGGCAAUAUAGUGAGACCCCAUCUCUU
ensembl:misc_RNA Metazoa_SRP Metazoan signal recognition particle RNA